AACGAUGAGUGCUAGUGUUGGAGGGUUUCCGCCCUUCAGUGCUGCAGCUAACGCAUUAAGCACUCCGCCUGGGGAGUACGACCGCAAGGUUGAAACUCAAAGGAAUUGACGGGGGCCCGCACAAGCGGUGGAGCAUGUGGUUUAAUUCGAAGCAACGCGAAGAACCUUACCAGGUCUUGACAUCCUUUGACCACUCUAGAGAUAGAGCUUCCCCUUCGGGGGCAAAGUGACAGGUGGUGCAUGGUUGUCGUCAGCUCGUGUCGUGAGAUGUUGGGUUAAGUCCCGCAACGAGCGCAACCCUUAUUGUUAGUUGCCAUCAUUCAGUUGGGCACUCUAGCAAGACUGCCGGUGACAAACCGGAGGAAGGUGGGGAUGACGUCAAAUCAUCAUGCCCCUUAUGACCUGGGCUACACACGUGCUACAAUGGGAAGUACAACGAGUUGCGAAGUCGCGAGGCUAAGCUAAUCUCUUAAAGCUUCUCUCAGUUCGGAUUGCAGGCUGCAACUCGCCUGCAUGAAGCCGGAAUCGCUAGUAAUCGCGGAUCAGCACGCCGCGGUGAAUACGUUCCCGGGCCUUGUACACACCGCCCGUCACACCACGAGAGUUUGUAACACCCGAAGUCGGUGAGGUAACCUUUUUGGAGCCAGCCGCCUAAGGUGGGAUAGAUGAUUGGGGUGAAGUCGUACAAAAGGG
rnacentral:rRNA from 1 species